AGCCUUGGGGUGUAAGCACAUCAAAUUGCAAGUUUGAAGAAGAGCCCUUAAAAGGCUCCGGGGCUU
rnacentral:tRNA from 1 species